rnacentral:rRNA from 1 species
AGAGUUUGAUCAUGGCUCAGGAUGAACGCUAGCGGCAGGCUUAAUACAUGCAAGUCGAACGGGAUUCGGGGUAGCAAUACUUUGAUGAGAGUGGCGCACGGGUGCGUAACGCGUAUGCAACCUACCUUUAACAGGGGAAUAGCCCCGAGAAAUCGGGAUUAAUACUCCGUAACAUUGCGGUGUGGCAUCACACUGCACUUAAAGCUGAGGCGGUUAAAGAUGGGCAUGCGUGACAUUAGCUAGUUGGUGAGGUAACGGCUCACCAAGGCAACGAUGUCUAGGGGUCCUGAGAGGGUUAUCCCCCACACUGGUACUGAGACACGGACCAGACUCCUACGGGAGGCAGCAGUAAGGAAUAUUGGUCAAUGGGCGCAAGCCUGUACCAGCCAUGCCGCGUGCAGGAAGACGGCCCUAUGGGUUGUAAACUGCUUUUGUCAGGGAAUAAACCCCCGCUCGUGAGCGGGGCUGAAGGUACCUGAAGAAUAAGCAUCGGCUAACUCCGUGCCAGCAGCCGCGGUAAUACGGAGGAUGCAAGCGUUAUCCGGAUUCAUUGGGUUUAAAGGGUGCGCAGGCGGAUUGGUAAGUCAGGGGUGAAAUCCCACAGCUCAACUGUGGAACUGCCUUUGAUACUGUCAGUCUAGAGUAUAGUUGAAGUUGGCGGAAUGUGUCAUGUAGCGAUGAAAUGCUUAGAUAUGACACAGAACACCGAUCGCGAAGGCAGCUGGCUAAGCUAUAACUGACGCUCAUGCACGAAAGCGUGGGGAUCAAACAGGAUUAGAUACCCUGGUAGUCCACGCUGUAAACGAUGAUUACUCGAUGUUGGCGAUACACAGUCAGCGUCUGAGCGAAAGCAAUAAGUAAUCCACCUGGGGAGUACGAUCGCAAGAUUGAAACUCAAAGGAAUUGACGGGGGCCCGCACAAGC